UACGAAGGGGGCUAGCGUUGCUCGGAAUCACUGGGCGUAAAGCGCCCGUAGGCGGAUCUUUAAGUCAGGGGUGAAAUCCUGGAGCUCAACUCCAGAACUGCCUUUGAUACUGGGGAUCUCGAGUCCGGGAGAGGUGAGUGGAACUCCGAGUGUAGAGGUGAAAUUCGUAGAUAUUCGGAAGAACACCAGUGGCGAAGGCGGCUCACUGGCCCGGUACUGACGCUGAGGCACGAAAGCGUGGGGAGCAAACAGG
rnacentral:rRNA from 1 species